ACAGGGAAAGGAUCUCAGCGGUUAGUGGGUCGGGCGUCCUGCCCUGUUGGAAGGCCAUGCGGUGAGUUUAACUGCGCAGCGUAUCCCACGCCUGCACUGGCUGGGUGCUGGGCUUUAGGGAAGCACUGAGACACUGCUCCCAGACUGGGAAACGUAGUCUGAGAUGUGAGAAAGCUGAAGCUGGUAUUCCCUGGCUUUAGAAGUGCACAGAGAAGUCGGGAACGAAAUGUCCACAGGUCCCUGAUAGGACCGGAACCAGCUCCCAAAGUCCUGGACUGCUAGGUGUAGGAUGGAAUGACGCAGUGGGAGGCCCCUCACCAGGUGAAGGCUACUUUAUUCUGGACUUCCCGGCCCACACAGCUACAAGGAAUAGAUUACUCAGUGGUUACAGACACACAAAAUACUUGGCCUUCUGCACCAAGAGAACAUGUAUAUUCAAGAAAUUAUUUCAUUUUUUAACAUGGAGGAAACAAUAAGAGGUAGAAUACCUGAGGCAAAACCACUCCCCCAAGUACGUCAGCAUGCC